rnacentral:rRNA from 1 species
AUUGAACGCUGGCGGCAUGCCUUACACAUGCAAGUCGAACGGCAGCAUGGAGAGCUUGCUCUCUGAUGGCGAGUGGCGAACGGGUGAGUAAUGCAUCGGAACGUACCGUGUAAUGGGGGAUAACGUAGCGAAAGUUACGCUAAUACCGCAUACGACCUGAGGGUGAAAGCAGGGGAUCGCAAGACCUUGCGUUAUACGAGCGGCCGAUGUCAGAUUAGCUAGUUGGUGAGGUAAAGGCUCACCAAGGCGACGAUCUGUAGCGGGUCUGAGAGGAUGAUCCGCCACACUGGGACUGAGACACGGCCCAGACUCCGUCGGGAGGCAGCAGUGGGGAAUUUUGGACAAUGGGGGCAACCCUGAUCCAGCCAUGCCGCGUGAGUGAAGAAGGCCUUCGGGUUGUAAAGCUCUUUCGGCCGGGAAGAAAUCGCACAGGCUAAUACUCUGUGUGGAUGACGGUACCGGCAUAAGAAGCACCGGCUAACUACGUGCCAGCCGCCGCGGUAA